GACGAACGCUGGCGGCGUGCCUAAUACAUGCAAGUAGAACGCAGUUGCGAACGGGUGAGUAACGCGUAGGUAACUGCCUCAUAGCGGGGGAUAACUAUUGGAAACGAUAGCUAAUACCGCAUACUGUGAGAUGGACCUGCGUUGUAUUAGCUAGUUGGUGAGGUAAAGGCUCACCAAGCCGCAGAUACAUAGCCCACCUGAGAGGGUGACUGGCCAAACUGGGACUGAGACACGGCCCCAACUCCUCCGGGAGGCAGCAGUUGGGAAUCUUCGGCAAUGGACGGAAGUCUGACCGAGCAAGGCCGGGUGAGUGAAGAAGGGUUUCGGAUCGUAAAGCUCUGUUGUUAGAGAAGCGGUAACUAAACAGAAAGGGACGGCUAACUACGUGCCAGCAGCCGCGGUAAUUC
rnacentral:rRNA from 1 species